rnacentral:snRNA from 2 species
AUCUUUGCGCUUGGGGCAAUGACGCAGCUAGUGAGGUUCUAACCGAGGCGCGUCUAUUGCUGGUUGAAAACUAUUUCCAAACCCCUCUUUGGCCUGGGUUCUGCCUUGGCCAUUGAGAAUUUUUUGAAAGGGCUUCCCUUCUGGGUUAAGCCC